GUGCCGAAACCCGGGAACGUGUAUGUGUGUUUUCAAGAAGGUAGUUCUACUGUAACUGAACCCAUCAACAAAAUUAUAGAACAAUUUACAUUUUCGCUUUUGGCGUGAGUUCCUAUUGUACGUCAAUAUUUUAUAGUUACAAAAGCUGUUUUAGCAUCUCAUCCCAAAGGAAAAGGAAUCAAGACCUCCCAACUGUAAUAUUUGAAUCUUCCUUGACUCCUCCCAACUGCUUGUGGCAUUCGUGAACUAAAAAACAUGCCUUCACCAUAUAGAUAUGUUUUUUUUUUUUCCAUAUCUGAUAAAAAAAAGCAAGAAGUUCCUUUACCCUUUUGAUCUUUUUUUCAGCAGUUUCACAGAAUGCUCAUACUGUCUUCAGCUCUUUCACAGACUUUAGAACACUAUCAUUUGGUACUGUAGAAGACUUAAAACACACAGGCUGCUUUAUAGAAAAUAGAAAUUAUGAACUUCCUCUGCACUGUUAAUAUCUUUAAGGUACAAAUAAACAUUUUUGCAAGAGCGUUUGUCUAGAAAUGAUAAAUAUUAUGCUUUCUCCUCAGAAUUCCACAGUAAAAAAGGGUAUUUUACCUGUCAUUCCUUUAACACCCUAACUUAAUUUACAGUAGCUUUUUCAGUCUACCUGUACUAAGAAAAUAAAAAUGAGGUUGAAAAAUAUAUUUUUUUUUCUAAGUAGCAGUUCAUCAUAUACUGCAUAUACUGUUUUGUGUUUGUAAUACUUAUAUCGCUAUGCUUUGUCCUUCUGGAUAGAUGUUGAAAACAAUUGAAUUGAUUAAGAAAAUCUGAUAACUCUAGAGGUAAAGUUUAGAAGAAGAAGAAGAAGAAGAAGAAAAAGAAGAAGAAGAAGAAGAAGAAGAAGAAGAAGAAGAAGAAGAAGAAGAAGAAAAUUUACACAUUUUGUCAAAAGGAGUGGGAGUAAUAGCAAGAAGUUUAGUAGUGGUUAACUCACUGACAUUUAUCUGACAGCGCUUUUUCUAUUAUACAAGUAGGUUGAAUAGGAUAGAUGCAUGUAAUGUCCAUCUAUUGACAAUUUAGUGCUUAAUAUAGUUAUUUCUAAGAAGAGAAUUCUAGAACAAUGCUAGAAACUAUCAAUUUCUUAUGCAUUUACUGAAGUAAUGUCUUGUUUAAGAAAUAUGAAUACAGAGGAAUGAGUCACAGGACAGGGGAACAAAUAUUUCUUCGAACAUUCUAGCAGAAAGAUUGACAGUUCCACCACCAGUCAGAGGGAAAUAAGUGUUUCUAGUUAUGCAGAAUACUUGAAUUCAGUCUAAAUUUAAUUUUAAUCUCAUUAAGUUAAAACAAUCCAAAUGGGUGGAACAAUCCAUAAGAAAUUAUGCUAAUUAAAAGGUCUUAAAAAUCAUUACAUUUUUUUGUUUCCAUACCUGAUUAAAGUGCAGAUAAACUAAGCACAGAAAGAGCUAUUCUACUGAUAGCAUCCUGCCACAGAAAAAAAACUAUCAGAACAAAGAAUAGAUCUGUAAAAAAAGAUCUGUAAAAAAAAAUCAAAUAGUUUUUUUUUAGUUUUGAAUACAUUAUGAAAGUAGCAGUUUUGCAAGAUUACAUAUUUCAGAAGGAGAAAUGUUUAUUCCUGUAAGAUGUGCAAAUAAGUAAACUCUUACAAAUGAGCAGCGUGAAAGAAAGCAGAAAAGUCUGUAACUUUUUUUUUAAAUGCACUUCUACAGUUAAACAUCAGAUACAUUGAAAGUGAAUAUCUGCCUUGGUUUGUCUUCAAAGUAUUUCUUAAAAGAGCAAUCAAUAUCAACUUUAGUUUGAUUUAUUAUGGUUUCAGAAACUGUAAUGGUAAGGUGGUUGGUAUUUUGUUUGUUGUCUUUCUUUUGUUGUUUUCUUUUUCCUUACCUUGUUUUUCUCAUACUUUUAUUUUUCUUUCUCCUUUUCUUGUUUUUGUUUUCCUUUUCCUGAGCUAUUCAGAGAAGGACCUAUGUGUCCUGAGUGAUAACACAUUGACCAUGAGCCAGCAUUGUACCUCUGUGGCCAAGAAGGCCAAUGGUAUCCUGAGCAUGGUCAGCAGGUAGAGGGAGGUGAUCCUCCCCUUCUACGCUGCUGUGGUGAGGCCUCUUCUGGAGUACUGUGUCCAGUUCUAUGCUCCCCAGUUCAAGAAAGGUAGGAAAUUUCUAGAGAUAGUCUUUGUGGAGAGCCACAAAGAUGACCAGAGCCCUGGAUCAUCUUCCUUAUGAGGAUAUAUAUAUAUAUAUAUAUAUAUGUAUAUAGUCAUAACUAUUAUCCUUUUCCUUUUCCCUAUCUUUGUAAAUAGUUUUAUCUCAACCCACAUGUUCAACGGCUUUUUUUUUUUAUUUUCUCUGUCUCUCCCCUAUCCAUCUGGGAAGGGGAGGAAGUGAACAAACAACUGUGUGAUACUCAGCCACCUGUUGGGUUAAACCACAAAAUUCCAUAACUUUAUUAGUGUCAGUUCUGGACUGUUGUCAAUAUUUUAUAUACUGAUGAAAUUGGUAUGCAUCUGCAUAGACAGGAAACCUGAGAAAUUACAAGGUUUUUCAGUUCCAUCUAGUGGCCUUAAGUGGUAUAUGUUUCAAAACAAUAAAUUUACAAUAAUAACGUUGAUGAUAGAAAAAAUAAUAAAAAUAAAACUAAAUUGUUGUUUAACAUACAAAUUAGAAACAAAAAGAUGCAAUAGUAAGGAAAUGUGUCUCAAGAAAUAUCCCUCAAAACAAAUAAGCCCCUUCUAAUGCCCCCUCUGAUGUUAAUAAAUCUACAUAUGAGAAAAAUGUUUUCCGAUAUCUAGACUCUAUGUGUCCUGCAGGUACGAGAUAGCAAACAUUUAAAAGCUUUGGAAGCCACUAUAUUGCCUUUCAUAAUCAUGUAGGAUGUUAGUUUUAGAUUUAUUUUUCUAAAAUAAAAAAUGAAGAAACAAGUAAAAA